UACGUAGGGGGCAAGCGUUUGUCCGGAAUUAUUGGGCGUAAAGAGCUCGUAGGCGGUUUGUUGCGUCGGCUGUGAAAACCUGAGGCUCAACCUCAGGCCUGCAGUCGAUACGAGCAGACUAGAGUGUUGCAGGGGAGACUGGAAUUCCUGGUGUAGCGGUGAAAUGCGCAGAUAUCAGGAGGAACACCGGUGGCGAAGGCGGCAUCCUGGACCGACACUGACGCUGAGGAGCGAAAGCCAGGGGAGCAAACGGG
rnacentral:rRNA from 1 species